rnacentral:rRNA from 1 species
ACGCUCGACACCUACGGGAGGCAGCAGUGAGGAAUAUUGGUCAAUGGGCGCAGGCCUGAACCAGCCAAGUAGCGUGAAGGAUGACUGCCCUAUGGGUUGUAAACUUCUUUUAUAUGGGAAUAAAGUUUUCCACGUGUGGAAUUUUGUAUGUACCAUAUGAAUAAGGAUCGGCUAACUCCGUGUCAGCAGCCGCGGUAAUCUGAGCGGGCUGGCAAGGC